rnacentral:rRNA from 1 species
UACGUAGGGCGCGAGCGUUGUCCGGAUUUAUUGGGCGUAAAGAGCUCGUAGGCGGCUUGUUGCGUCGGCUGUGAAAACCCAUGGCUCAACCGUGGGCUUGCAGCCGAUACGGGCAGGCUAGAGUUCGGUAGGGGAGACUGGAAUUCCUGGUGUAGCGGUGAAAUGCGCAGAUAUCAGGAGGAACACCAGUGGCGAAGGCGGCUCACUGGCCCGAUACUGACGCUGAGGUGCGAAAGCGUGGGGAGCAAACAGG